GAUGAACGCUGGCGGCGUGCCUAAUACAUGCAAGUCGAGCGAACAGAUGAGAAGCUUGCUUCUCUGAUGUUAGCGGCGGGCGGGUGAGUAACACGUGGGUAACCUACCUAUAAGACUGGGAUAACUCCGGGAAACCGGGGCUAAUACCGGAUAAUAUUUUGAACCGCAUGGUUCAAUAGUGAAAGACGGUUUCGGCUGUCACUUAUAGAUGGACCCGCGGCGUAUUAGCUUGUUGGUAAGGUAACGGCUUACCAAGGCGACGAUACGUAGCCGACCUGAGAGGGUGAUCGGCCACACUGGAACUGAGACACGGUCCAGACUCCUACGGGAGGCAGCAGUAGGGUAUCUUCCGCAAUGGGCGAAAGCCUGACGGAGCAACGCCGCGUGAGUGAUGAAGGUCUUCGGAUCGUAAAACUCUGUUGUUAGGGAAGAACAAAUUUGUUAGUAACUGAACAAGUCUUGACGGUACCUAACCAGAAAGCCACGGCUAACUACGUGCCAGCCGCCGCAGUAA
rnacentral:rRNA from 1 species